UGCUCCUCUUCCUUCUCCUCCUUUUCCUCCUCCUCCUCCUCGCCCCCUGCCCGCAGGUAGGCGUGGAACUGCUCCUUGGAGGGUUGUUUUCAAGCAGUAAAUGCAAGGACUGGCUGCACAGUGCUGAAGGGAUGAACCAGCUCUCGCUCAUGAGCCGCCUGGAGCCUUCCAGCCACCCUCGCCUUCGGCCCGUGGGUGGAAGUUUGGGCUGAAAACCAAAUAAACCAAAUAAACACGUCAA